GGCUGAUCUGGGUGCUGUGACAUUCAUAACUAAUUGAUUGCAACCAAUUACAAAUUUCUGUGUUCCUUCUCCACUUCCACUGCUUCACUUGACUAGCAAAA
ensembl:misc_RNA Y_RNA Y RNA